GAUGAACGCUGGCGGCGUGCCUAAUACAUGCAAGUCGAGCGAACGGACGAGAAGCUCGCGCCUCUGAUGUUAGCGGCGGACGGGUGAGUAACACGCGGAUAACCUACCUAUAAGACUGGGAUAACUUCGGGAAACCGUAGCUAACACCGGAUAAUAUUUUGAACCGCAUGGUUCAAAAGUGAAAGACGGUCUUGCUGUCACUUAUAGAUGGAUCCGCGCUGCAUUAGCUAGUUGGUAAGGUAACGGCCUACCAAGGCAACGAUGCAUAGCCGACCUGAGAGGGUGAUCGGCCACACUGGAACUGAGACACGGUCCAGACUCCUACGGGAGGCAGCAGUAGGGAAUCUUCCGCAAUGGGCGAAAGCCUGACGGAGCAACGCCGCGUGAGUGAUGAAGGUCUUCGGAUCGUAAAACUCUGUUAUUAGGGAAGAACAGCUGUGUAAGUAACUGUGCACAUCUUGACGGUACCUAAUCAGAAAGCCACGGCUAACUACGUG
rnacentral:rRNA from 1 species